rnacentral:rRNA from 1 species
GACGAACGCUGGCGGCGGGCUUAACACAUGCAAGUCGAACGGAAAGGCCCUGCUUUUGUGGGGUGCUCGAGUGGCGAACGGAUGAGUAACACGUGAGUAACCUACCCGUGACUUUGGGAUAACUUCAGGAAACUGGGGCUAAUAACGGAUAGGAACUCCUGCUGCAUGGUGGGGUUUGGAAAGUUUCGUCGGUUGGUGAUGGACUCGCGGCUGAUCAGCUUGUUGGUGGGGUAGUGGCUUACCAAGGCUUGGACGGGUAGCCGGCCUGAGAGGGUGACCGGCACAAUUGGGACUGAGAUACGGCAGAGACUAGUACGGAAGGCAGCAGUGGGGAAUAUUGCACAAUGGGGCGAAGCCUGAUGAAGCAAGGACGCGCGCGGGAUGACGGACCUCGGGUUGUAAACCGCUACGGCCUCUGACGAAGCGUGAGUGACGGUAAUGGGUAAAGAAGCACCGGCUAACUCCGUG